rnacentral:rRNA from 1 species
UACAGAGGUCUCAAGCGUUGUUUCGGAUUCAUUGGGCGUAAAGGGUGCGUAGGUGGCGCCGUAAGUCGGGUGUGAAAUUUCGGAGCUUAACUCCGAAACUGCAUUCGAUACUGCGGUGCUUGAGGACUGGGAGAGGAGACUGGAAUUCAUGGUGUAGCAGUGAAAAUGCGUAGAGAUCAUGAGGAAGACCGUGGCGAAGGCGGGUCUCUGGACAGUUCCUGACACUGAGGCACGAAGGCCCAGGGGGAGCAAA